UAAAAUAGGCUAAUGAAGACAACCUGGGGAACUGAAACAUCUUAGUACCCAGAGGAAGAGAAAGAAAACUCGAUUCCCCUAGUAGCGGCGAGCGAAGCGGGAAGAGCCCAAACCAGGUUUUCGGACCUGGGGUUGUAGGACUUCAUAAUUUGACAAUAGGUUAAUAGAAUACAGUUGGAAAGCUGAACCAUAGAAGGUAAAAGUCCUGUAUAUGAAAGCCGACGAUAGAAGGAAGUAUCCUGAGUACUGCGGGACACGUGAAAUCCCGUGGGAAGCUGGAGGGACCACCCUCCAAGGCUAAAUACUCCUUGAUGACCGAUAGUGAACCAGUACCGUGAGGGAAAGGUGAAAAGAACCCCGGGAGGGGAGUGAAAUAGAACCUGAAACCAUAUGCUUACAAACUGUCAGAGCACCAUUUAAGGUGUGAUGGCGUACUUUUUGUAGAACGGACCGGCGAGUUAUGUUAACAAGCGAGGUUAAGCAGGAGAUGCGGAGCCGUAGCGAAAGCGAGUCUGAAUAGGGCGAAUAGUUUGUUGAUGUAGACCCGAAACCCGGUGAUCUACCCAUGGUCAGGUUGAAGCUGAGGUAAGACUCAGUGGAGGACCGAACCGACCUCUGUUGAAAAAGGGGCGGAUGAACUGUGGGUAGGGGUGAAAUUCCAAUCGAACCCGGAGAUAGCUGGUUCUCCCCGAAAUAGCUUUAGGGCUAGCCUCAGGUAAGACACAUGGAGGUAGAGCACUGACUGGCCGCGGGGGCGUCAAAGCCUACCAAAGCCUAUCAAACUCCGAAUGCCAUGGUGCCGUUGCCUGGGAGUCAGACUGCACGAGAUAAGUUGGGCAGUCGAGAGGGAAAGAGCCCAGACCACCAGCCAAGGUCCCAAAGUACAUGUUAAGUGGGAAAGGAUGUGGGAUUUCGAAGACAACUAGGAUGUUGGCUCAGAAGCAGCCAUACAUUCAAAGAGUGCGUAAUAGCUCACUAGUCGAGAGGUCCUGCGCCGAAAAUGUCCGGGGCUGAAACACGACACCGAAGCUCAGGAAAUUGUCUAUCCUACGGAUAGCCAUGGAAAGAAUGGAAGAGCAUCCAUUCUUUCGGGUGACUAUGCGCAGGGUAGAUAGUUCGGUAGGGGAGCAUUGCUAAAGAGAGGAAGCAGUACCGUAAGGAGCUGUGGAUUUUUAGGAAGAGAGAAUGCCGGAAUGAGUAGCGAGACGAAGGUGGGAAUCCUUCGGGCCGAAUAUCCAAGGUUUCCAGGGUAAAGCUGAUCUGCCCUGGUAAGUCGGGACCUAAGGCGAGGGCGAGAGCCGUAGUCGAUGGACAACAGGUGGAGAUUCCUGUACUCCGUAUGGACAGAACUGUGGGGACGCGGGCAGAAAGCCAGAGCCGGGAAUGGAAAACCCGGUACAAGCGAGGUAGCCGUGCUGCAGGUAAAUCCGCAGCAUAAGGCGAAUGCGUGACGUGGAGCGAACCAAAGGGUAGCGAAGCUGGCAGGCUGGCCGCCGAGAAAAGCCGCUAUUGUUCCAUGCGGACCCGUACCGUAAACCGACACAGGUGGAUGAGGAGAGGAUCCUAAGGCCGGCGGGAGAAGCAUUGUUAAGGAACUCGGCAAAAUGACCCCGUAACUUCGGGAGAAGGGGUGCCUGGGGAACCAGGCCGCAGAGAAUAGGUCCAAGCAACUGUUUAGCAAAAACACAGGUCUAUGCGAAACCGAAAGGUGAAGUAUAUGGGCUGACGCCUGCCCGGUGCUGGAAGGUUAAGGGGAGGGCUCAGGGAGUGAUCCCGAAGGUCUGAACUUAAGCCCCAGUAAACGGCGGCCGUAACUAUAACGGUCCUAAGGUAGCGAAAUUCCUUGUCGGGUAAGUUCCGACCCGCACGAAAGGCGUAAUGAUUUGGACGCUGUCUCGACAAUGCACCCGGUGAAAUUGAAAUACCAGUGAAGAUGCUGGUUACCCGCGCCAGGACGGAAAGACCCCAUGGAGCUUUACUCCAGCUUGGUGCUGGGAUUCGGUACUGCAUGUACAGGAUAGGUGGGAGCCUUAGAAGUGAGGACGCCAGUCUUCACGGAGCCGCCGUUGGGAUACCACCCUUGCAGUAUUGGGCUUCUAACCGGCCGCCGUGAACCGGCGGCGGGACACCGCCUGGCGGGGAGUUUGACUGGGGCGGUCGCCUCCGAAAGGGUAUCGGAGGCGCUCAAAGGUUCCCUCAGAAUGGUCGGAAACCAUUUAAAGAGUGCAAAGGCAGAAGGGAGCUUGACUGCGACACCGACGGGUGGAGCAGGUACGAAAGUAGGACUUAGUGAUCCGGUGGUAUAAAGUGGGAUUGCCAUCGCUCAACGGAUAAAAGCUACCCUGGGGAUAACAGGCUUAUCACUCCCAAGAGUUCACAUCGACGGAGUGGUUUGGCACCUCGAUGUCGGCUCAUCGCAUCCUGGGGCUGUAGCAGGUCCCAAGGGUUGGGCUGUUCGCCCAUUAAAGCGGUACGCGAGCUGGGUUCAGAACGUCGUGAGACAGUUCGGUCCCUAUCCGGCGCGGGCGAAGGAUAUUUGAGAGGAGCUGUCCUUAGUACGAGAGGACCGGGAUGGACGGGCCGCUGGUGUACCUGUUGGCAUGCCAAUGCCAUGGCAGGGUAGCCAAGCCCGGAAGGGAUAAACGCUGAAGGCAUCUAAGCGUGAAGCCCCCCUCAAGAUGACAUAUCCCAUUUCGAAAGAAGUAAGGCCCCUUUGA
rnacentral:rRNA from 1 species